GACCGAAGGGCUACACUCAAGUGGUACAUAAAGUUUAUGAGGCAAAUAAGUGAACAAACAAACAAACUGUGGGAUGUGACACAUAGAUAGCAGUCAAGUACAACAUUCCCAGAGUGGACAUGAAAGGGGAUGUUUGCUCCAGUCAGUAUAAAACUUCCUGUUUCCUCCUGAGCUGGGACAAACUUCCUCUGCAUGUGACUAGAGGUGGGUGUGACCUUACCUGCCCAGGUGACAAAAGGGCAAGGCAGGCAGCACACUCUCUAUCUUCUCCAUUUUGCUUUCGCCGUGUGAGCAGCAGUGACUGCCUGUCUGCAGUCACUGGGACUAACUCCCAUAUGGGGUGGUUCCAUGUUAUACUUUGUAACCUAAGUCUGUCUUCAGGGAUCCAUCUGUGAACUGAAUGUGUGAGUAAACUUCUUUUAUGAUACUUUACACAAGAUGGUGCCAUGUCUAUUCUUUUUAAGGGGGAGAAAAGGGGAUUACCAGGAAUCCUAUAUUGAGAAGCUUAAAUGAGCUUGCCACAAGCUAACCGCUGUGUGUUUAAAAGGGGAGUGCACUCUGCUAAGUAAAGGGACUUGCUAAUGCAAGUUAGAAAAGAUAUUAUUAAACAAUAUAUCCUCUCCUGCCUCCCUGAACAUUCCCACAGAAACAAUGUUAACAGCCUUCCUUGCACCUAUCUAUCUGAAAUUUGGCAGCCUCCAUUCACCCACAAGGGCACAUGAUGCCUGUAGAUUCCAUGUAAUUCCUUCUGGAAAUUUAUAAGUCAUAGAGCCAUUUCUCCGUUUCCCCAUGUAACGUACAAAGCCUCAGAUUUUCCAGAGCACAGUUCUACUGUAGAGCUGAAUCUAAAAGUGGAUGUUUUCCAAAGCAGUCCAAACUGAACUGACCUGCUUUGUGAAGCACCAAGGCAGGAUUUGAGCUGGAUCUGACUCUAGGGCACAACCCCAUUUUCAACCCCCUGCAUGUGUGAACUGGGGCGGGGUGACCGCAUUGUGUGAGCACAGACAGCCUCCAAGAUAAGCGAGGGAAGAUGCCAAAUUCUCCUUGCCUUCCUGUUGCUGUUGGAGAGGAGCCUCCUGUAAAUUGUCCUAAAAAUCCAAGCCCUGGCAUGGAAAUAUGAAGUUUGGAAAGUGGAGAUAAACGCUGAGUGAGCACACAGCGAAUGCCUCAUUUUCUCCACAUCAAGAGAUUACUUCUCCUCUGUCCUAAAUUGAAAAUGGAUUUUCAUUCGGUUGGAGGGUCAGGAGCCGGAGUCAAGUGUAGAUCAGCGAUAAAAACAUGGUGCCAGUGAAGUUAACUAUUCAAAACAACCAAACCAGUGCAGACCUAGUAACUCCAGCACCUCUUCCCAGUUGGUCUUGCCCCAGUGAAGCAGUUACGAGGACUGAAGAACCCUGCCUUCUUACCAGAAAUCAGCACCGGCGCCCACACCACUUCUCUGGUGGUGGGGUACGGUGGAACUUCCCAUUUCACCUCAAGCGGCAAAACGGGGCACCCCACCCCCUUGGUGCAGACCAGACCACAGCAUAACUUUCCCACGCCUGUUAAAUUACAAGUCCCAGUAAUGAAAAGCUCCCUCUCUGGAGAGCAGAUUCCACCAUCAAGUAUCACUCAUUCUGGCAUAGUUUGUAACACACGAUCAGUCCUUGAAUGGUUAUUUGUUUUAAUUUAUCUUGAGUGCAGAUUUGGAGUUUGCUUGUUAUAAAAUCUCCCCAUCUACUUUCAUUCCCUUCCCUUUUUUAUAUUAAAAUAAAAAUAAAAAUGGGGCUAAGCCAAAGGGUGACGAAUCAGUAUAAAAAUCAGUAUAAAACUGAUGUUGAAUAUGUAUCCUAAAUGUCUUCUGGGGCUGCAGGAGAGAGCAAUAUGACAAAGCUGAUUAGUAUCAUUCAAAUAGGCAGAGUAUAAACUUAAUGGGAAUCAUAUACAGUGGUACCUCAGGUUACAGACGCUUCAGGUUACAGACGCUUCAGGUUACAGACUUCACUAACCCAGAAAUAGUACCUCGGGUUAAGAACUUUGCUUCAGGUUGAGAACAGGUUGUUCCGGCGGCGUGGCGGCAGCAGGAGGCCCCAUUAGCUAAAGUGGUGCUUCAGGUUAAGAACAGUUUCAGGUUAAGAACGGACCUCCGGAACAAAUUAAGUUCUUAACCCGAGGUACCACUGUAUGUACAUUACUUCUAAAAUCUUGACUCUAAAAAAUGACUCCAAACUGUGACUUUACAAAGCACGAUGAGGAGGGUGCUCAGAGAUCAGAUGUGUGAACCCCCUCUUAGCUGGGGAUCAAUUAUGUUCAGGACCCAAAAUCACAGGACAUAAUAGGCACAGCCUAGUGUGACAAAGAGACUUGUUUGUUCUCCUGUUGGCUUUGUUGCCUCUGAGUUGAAAUGAAGAAGAGAAGAAGCUUUGGGGGGAAAUGGAAGGAGGAGGCUGAAACCAUUCCAGGCGCCAUGGUUUGGCAUCUACUUGAGACUCUGGGGUGGGUGUAUUUUUUAACUAACCCCGGUCUCUGGGCCUGUAUAUCUGUCCUCACCUCUGGGGCCAAUGGAAAAGAGUAGAACAUUUAUACAAAUGGAGAUUAGGAAACAAAAUGUGGCUCUAGCAUUGCUUCAGCAUGUUCUGGAGAUGUUGAGAUGUUGCCAAACUGCCAAUUACCACCUUGGCUGAGUUCCUGAGCACAUUCUCUGCUAGGCUGAAGUAGUGCUGCUCUCUGGAGCACAUCAGGAGAGCUCUAAACUAUAAUAUGAAAAGAAACUUUGACUGCCAUAUCGAGUCCUGUCCUCUUACUGCACAAAAGCAUUUUAUCGGCUUUUAUUUUACAACACAUUUAGAGGAUGAUCCUCUAUCCUCAGGGCAGUUGGCUGGCUUAAUGUGAACCAAGUGAUUCCCCCCCCCCCCCGAUAUGGAACAAAGCAUCUCAAGAAUCUUAGCUUGUCUUUUACAGAACAUUUCUGGUAGAAAUGUGUGGAACCCUCCCGUUUAUGUCCAUGGACUGCUCCACCAUAACUCUCUGCCUUUAUUAUAUUUUUGCCUGUGGUGUUUGGUUUUCCAGUGUUGUCACAUCAGCUUCAACAAGGAUCUACACAGAUAUAAAAAAACACCAUGAAAGAAAACGCUAUAAAAAUACAGCUCCCAAUAGAAAUUUUCAUUGACUUCAGAUUGCUGCUCUACAGUGCUAUCUGGUGUCACAUUUUUAUAACGCAUUUAUAACAUUAUAAAUUGACCUGUGUAGCUGAGUGCAAGGACUGCUCCAGUGUUUUUAGAUUUAGGACGUCAUGUGUCCAUCUGUGUUAUGAAAACCAUUCCAUACCCUUCCUUAAUGUUAAAAAACAUGUGGGUACAGUAGGUCCAUCCCUGGGUUCAGAGAUCUGCACUGAUUUGCUACCAGACCAGGCUCAAGGUAUUACUAUUUGUACAAAGCCAUUAACAACUUGGGUCCAGUUUGCCUGCAAGAUCGUCUCACCCAACUUGUACCCUCUUUGUGGGAAUGUUCAGGGAGACAGGAGAGCAUAUACUGUUUAUUAAUAUCCUUCCUAACUUGUGCUAGCAAGUUCCUUUAUGUAGCAGAGUGACAUUCCCCCUUUUUAUAUGCACAGCAGAUAGCUGGUUGCAGGCUCGUGUGAGCCUCUCACUAUUAUACAAUUCAAUCUGUCUCAGAUUGAAUUGUACAUUUCUGGUAAGUUCCCUUGAAUCCCUCUUAAAAGAAUAAAGACACAACAAUCUUAUUCAAAGUCAAUAAAAGAAGUUUACUCACAUCAGUUCACAAUUGAAUUCCUGAAGGCAGACUUAGUUACAAAUAUGUACAUGUGGAUCUACCCCAUAUGGGGAAAUAAUCCCAGUGCUUCUGCUAGCUAAGAGCUAGCAGAGCAUUCCUAGCUAAGAAGCUGGUCAAACGAACAAGGAAGUCCAAACGAGAGGUGUGCUGCGUGACUCGUCCUUUUGUUACCGGGACAGGUUAGGUCACGCCCACAUGCAAAAGGAAGGAUGCUCCAGCCAGGAGGAACAGGAAGUUUUGACCGGCUGGACCAAACAUUCCCUCGCCUGUCUUUUCUAGCAUUUCAAGGAAUGUUGUACUUGACUGCCUCUCAUGGAUCACAUCCUACACUCUUGACUGCUUUGAUUGUCGAAACUGGCACUGCUACAGGUGCCACAUGACCUGUUCCACAUUUGUCAUAACUCGAUUGUUUGGUGUGGCAGCGUCUGCACUUUGGAACUCCCUGUCUGUGGAGAUCCAGCGGGCCUCUUCAUGGUACUCUUUCAGCACCUGCCAAAAUCAUUCCUUUUCAGAGAAGCCUGCUAAGAUACUUAGAUAGUUGAGGUAAUUUUAAUCCAUUUUAGUAUUUUAACUUCUGUAUGCUUUAAAGUAGACUUGUGAUUUCCCCCCUCGAUUUUACUGUUUUGUCUUUUGUAAACUGCUUUGAGUUGUUUUACAGUCAAGCGGUUUGUAAUUUUUUAUGAAAUAAAUACAUAUGAAU
rnacentral:lncRNA from 1 species